GCAAUACAUCACCGGCGGACGGGUGCGUAACGCGUGGGAAUGUACCUAUUGGUUCGGAACAACUGAGGGAAACUUCAGCUAAUACCGGAUGAGCCCGAAAGGGGAAAGAUUUCUCGCCAAUAGAUCAGCCCGCGUCCGAUUAGCUAGUUGGUGGGGUUAUGGCCUACCAAGGCGACGAUCGGUAGCUGUUCUGAGAGGAAGAUCAGCCACACUGGGACUGAGACACGGCCCAGACUCCUACGGGAGGCAGCAGUGGGGAAUAUUGGACAAUGGGCGCAAGCCUGAUCCAGCAAUGCCGCGUGGGUGAAGAAGGUCUUCGGA
rnacentral:rRNA from 1 species